rnacentral:rRNA from 1 species
GGGCGCAAGCCUGAUGCAGCCAUGCCGCGUGUAUGAAGAAGGCCUUCGGGUUGUAAAGUACUUUCAGCGGGGAGGAAGGGAGUAAAGUUAAUACCUUUGCUCAUUGACGUUACCCGCAGAAGAAGCACUGGCUAACUCCGUGCCAGCAGCCGCGGUAAUACGGAGGGUGCAAGCGUUAAUCGGAAUUACUGGGCGUAAAGCGCACGCAGGCGGUUUGUUAAGUCAGAUGUGAAAUCCCCGGGCUCAACCUGGGAACUGCAUCUGAUACUGGCAAGCUUGAGUCUUGUAGAGGGGGGUAGAAUUCCAGGUGUAGCGGUGAAAUGCGUAGAGAUCUGGAGGAAUACC